rnacentral:rRNA from 1 species
AGGAAUAUUGGUCAAUGGGCGCGAGCCUGAACCAGCCAAGUAGCGUGAAGGAUGAAGGUCCUACGGAUUGUAAACUUCUUUUAUACGGGAAUAAAGUGGUCCACGUGUGGAUUUUUGCAUGUACUGUAUGAAUAAGCAUCGGCUAACUCCGUGCCAGCAGCCGCGGUAAUACGGAGGAUGCGAGCGUUAUCCGGAUUUAUUGGGUUUAAAGGGAGCGCAGACGGGGGAUUAAGUCAGUUGUGAAAGUUUGCGGCUCAACCGUAAAAUUGCAGUUGAUACUGGUUCCCUUGAGUGCAGUUGAGGCAGGCGGAAUUCGUGGUGUAGCGGUGAAAUGCAUAGAUAUCACGAAGAACCCCGAUUGCGAAGGCAGCCUGCUAAGCUGUAACUGACGCUGAUGCUCGAAAGUGUGGGUAUCAAACAGGAUUAGAUACCCUGGUAGUCCACACGGUAAACGAUGGAUACUCGCUGUUGGCGAUAUACUGUCAGCGGCCAAGCGAAAGCAUUAAGUAUCCCACCUGGGGAGUACGCCGGCAACGGUGAAACUCAAAGGAAUUGACGGGGGCCCGCACAAGCGGAGGAACAUGUGGUUUAAUUCGAUGAUACGCGAGGAACCUUACCCGGGCUUAAAUUGCAGACGAAUUACCUGGAAACAGGUAAGCCGCAAGGCGUCUGUGAAGGUGCUGCAUGGUUGUCGUCAGCUCGUGCCGUGAGGUGUCGGCUUAAGUGCCAUAACGAGCGCAACCCUCGUGGCCAGUUACUAGCAGGUAACGCUGAGGACUCUGGCCAGACUGCCAUCGCAAGAUGCGAGGAAGGUGGGGAUGACGUCAAAUCAGCACGGCCCUUACGUCCGGGGCUACACACGUGUUACAAUGGGAGGUACAGAAGGCAGCUACCCGGCGACGGGAUGCCAAUCUCCAAAGCCUCUCUCAGUUCGGACUGGAGUCUGCAACCCGACUCCACGAAGCUGGAUUCGCUAGUAAUCGCGCAUCAGCCACGGCGCGGUGAAUACGUUCCCG